GAUGAACGCUGGCGGCGUGCCUAAUACAUGCAAGUCGAGCGAACGGACGAGACGCUUGCUUCUCUGUUGUUAGCGGCGCACGUGUGAGUAACACGUGGAUACCCUCCCUAUAUGACUGGGAUCACUUCGGGACACCGGCGCUAAUCCCGUAUAAUCUUUUGAACCGUAUGGUUCAAAAGUGAAAGACGGUCUUGCUGUCAGUUAUAGAUGGAUCCGCGCUGCAUUAGCUAGUUGGUACGGUAACGGCUUACCAAGGCAACGAUGGGUAGCCGACCUGAGAGGGUGAACGGCCACAAUGGGACUGAGAUACGGACCAGACUCCUACGGGCGGCAGUAGUGGGGAGUAUUGCACAAUGGGGGGACGCCUGAUGCAGCAACGCCGCGUGCGGGAUGACGGCCUUCGAGUUGUAAACCGAUUUCGAAUGUGACGAAGCGUGAGUGACGGUAAUGGGUAAAGAAGCACCGGCUAACUACGUG
rnacentral:rRNA from 1 species